CAGUAGCCGCGGUAACACGGAGGAUCCAAGCGUUAUCCGGAUUUAUUGGGUUUAAAGGGUGCGUAGGCGGCCUAUUAAGUCAGGGGUGAAAGACGGUAGCUCAACUAUCGCAGUGCCUUUGAUACUGAUAGGCUUGAAUGUACUUGAAGUGGGCGGAAUGUGACAAGUAGCGGUGAAAUGCAUAGAUAUGUCACAGAACACCGAUUGCGAAGGCAGCUCACUAAAGUAUGAUUGACGCUGAGGCACGAAAGCGUGGGGAUCAAACAGGAUUAGAUACCCGCGUAGUCCCUGUCUCUUAUAC
rnacentral:rRNA from 1 species